AACGACUCUCGGCAACGGAUAUCUCGGCUCACGCAUCGAUGAAGAACGUAGCAAAAUGCGAUACUUGGUGUGAAUUGCAGAAUCCCGUGAACCAUCGAGUUUUUGAACGCAAGUUGCGCCCGAAGCCUUUUGGUCGAGGGCACGUCUGCCUGGGUGUCACACAUCU
rnacentral:rRNA from 1 species